UCACUCCUGUAGAAUGCAGGUAUGUUUGUCAUUAUUAUAAAUAGCUGUUGACUGGUGACCUGUCAGAAACCCAUUAUACAGAGUCAGCCAAGAUAAUGUUUACACACACCAGGAAAAGAAAAACUUGCAUAAAUAUUUCAAGACCAAAUUUAUUCAGACAUGACAAGAUUAAUCAUCUUGAUGAACAAACUGGACACCCUGGGCCUCCCCUCUUUCACUUGCAGCUGGAUUAAGGACUUCUUAACCAACAGACCCCAGUCUGUGAGACUUGACCCCUUAGUUGCAUUAAUAACCUCAUAACAUUCAAAUUUUUAUUCCCGUCUUGGUUGAAAAUAAAAUCUCUGUAUUGAUUCAGGUAAAAACUGAACUUCACAGCAUGUUGGAGCAAAACAACCAGAUGAAAACUGUGAUGGUGUUGGAUUGUCAGACUGUAAUGUUGCAGCUCAAAGCAGCUUUUCUAUCUCAGUUCAUUCUGACAUUCAGCUAUGAAUCAACACAGCAGAUGGUGAUCCAUGCUGUGGAAGUCUCACAUCUCCUGAUUUAAUGGAGCUGCUUUGCACUUUUUACACUGUUUAUUCACCAACACUUUAUUUAAUAAAAGUCCCAUCUAGUUUUUAUGAGGAAUGUGAUGUUUUAAUUUCUCUGUGAAUAACUGCAGUCUAAUGCAACAGCUGGAGUUGUAACAUCUGUCCUGAUAUUGAUCAUGAAGUAUUGAUCAGAAUACUUAUGGUUAGCAGUCAUCCCUGAAGUUUUACAUUAAAAUCUUUACUUGUGUUGUUAACUUUGGUAAGAAGCAGAAACGUUAGCGUUGCCAUGGAUACAUGAGUGUUAAAUUCUGUUUCCAUUUUGGGAAAUUCAGUCCAGCAGAUGAGUUUGUUUUUACUGCCAGCUACCAUUCAGUCAGAGAUAUUAAGAAUAAAUAAAUGUGCAUAAUGUGGAAAUGAACAGAUUUUAUUUUUAUUUAUUCCUACAGCUGCUGCAAGGAAUGUUCCACACUGUGGAGGAAUUUAGUCUCAUAAUCACAGACAAUAAAUAUUAUCUGAAAGUCAGGUUAUUGUUGUUUAUCAGCACAAUACAAAAAGAUUCAUGUUAGAAAUAUUCCAGUUAAGACUCUAGAAUAUCAGGAUUUAUGUAAAUUUACCUCAGUAAUAUGAAUGUUCAGGUUAAGAUUGUGCAGUGAUAUUUAUUAUGUAAGUUUAGCUAAUUAAAGGUUAUGACUCUGCACUACAAUAUUAUUAUUUAAAUUGACAUCAUUAUUAUAUUAUUUUGGGUCAGACCCCACAGUAUUGAGAUUAAGAAAUCAAAUAUUCUAUAAAAUGUAAAUACACUGAACUCAUUUGGAGAUAUUUAAGUGAGACUCUACAAUAUUAUUUGACACAAAUCUAUCUAAAUCAAAAUUUUAAUCAUUUUUACUCCAAACAUUUACUGGACUGAUUUAAAUAUUAAAAUCACUCCUUUCUAAUCCUCUGCUGUACGUUCAAACCUGAGACCUUAAAUAGAAACACACAAGUAUCUGUUUGAAGGAACUUCUGCAGAGUCCUGGUUCCAGAACAUGAUGAUAGAAUUAUAGACAAACUUUAACAAAAGCUGCCUGAGAGUUUACAGGUUUUUAUGUUGGAUUUCUUCAGUAAUUUAAUGAGAGUUAUCAGCAAUAAUCAAGUGUUCAUUUGAUGAACUUCAUUUCCUAAAACAUCCAGAAUUGGAGCUCAUAUCUUUGGCAGCUGUAAAGUUUCUGCUACUUCAAAGUUCACAACACAAUGAAUUAAUUCCUAAAACACUCUCAAUGCUGGAGAGCGUUUGUGAUGCUGAAGCAGUGAUCAGUUUUUCUGUUUCUUCUCUGGAGAUGCACAAUGAGGGACGUCUGCAGAGACUGAGAAAGAGUCUCACCACAUCCUGACAUGAGGAAAAAGACUUUAUUGAAGACUACAAUGAGAAAAACUAUCAGACAGCAGACAGCUGCAUUCAAGUCUGUAGCUGCUGAAUUCAUGGAUGAAUCAUCUGGCACUAGAGAAGAAGACCAUCAAACAUCCACGUCAGCUGAUGGAGGUCCAAGAGUCUCACCAAACAAACAACCUACAGAGUGAAGACCUCAAAUCUGAUUGGACGGCUUCCUAUUCAGCCACGUGUGAACAAAUGCCUCUAAGCUGAUUUGUUUUCUAAAAUAAAUCUAGUUUGAGUCCUAA